GGACUACAGGGGUAUCUAAUCCUGUUUGAUACCCACGCUUUCGUGCCUCAGCGUCAGUUACAGUUUUGUGAGCUGCCUUCGCAAUCGGUGUUCUGUGUCAUAUCUAAGCAUUUCACCGCUACAUGACACAUUCCGCCCACAUCAAAUGUACUCAAGAUUGACAGUAUCAAUGGCAGUUUCGGAGUUAAGCUCCGAGAUUUCACCACUGACUUAUCAUUCCGCCUACGCACCCUUUAAACCCAAUGAAUCCGGAUAACGCUUGGAUCCUCCGUAUUACCGCGGCUGCUGGCAC
rnacentral:rRNA from 1 species